GGGAGCACCUUCUUGCUUGGUGAGCAGCAUUCUUCCUCAGCUUCUUCAGCUUGGGCACUGGUCUGCGGAUGGGCAGAAGCCAAGCUGUCCUGAACACAGUGUGGAAGUGGAGUGCUCGGAUUCCCCGACAUCAUGUUCUGUCCUCAGUCUACCAGUACGGCUGCAUGGGGUUUGAGCCCUGGAGUUGGGAGAUAAAAACUUGGGAAAGGAAGAGUUCUGGAAGGAGGAUGGGCCACAGAGACGCUCAGAGAGGUCCCAGCCACUGCUCUGCCUUCCUUCCAGCCCCAACCUCUGGAGAGCAGGUAGGUGG